UUCCUUUUUUUUAAAUAAAUCAGUCGAGAGCCUAACACUGUAAGUACGUCCCAGUGAACUACAGGAGCUGCUGUUAAAAUCAGAGUUACUUCUCCUUUGCCGUGACUAACUUCCUCUUAUUUCUGCUGUAUACGCUGCUCUUUGGUUUGGGAGACUAAUAACUUUUUAGAAAGUUUUUUUUACAGGUGUCCAGUAGGGCUGCUUCCUGUGGUAAUGAGCAAAACAGCACCUGGCCGUGGAGGCAAGCGGGGGCUAAGACUCAGCCCAAAUUCAACCAGGCAGGGCACGUAGCGCUCACCCAAAAAGCAUCUUGGGUGGGCCUUGACCUGGGGAUGUUGUUACGGCCCAGACAGGUGGGCCUUUUACUGUAAGGCCUCUGCUCGGAGGGGUGCCUUUCUCUAAUCCAAAAGAGCCUGUGACCUGCAAGAAAACAGUGCUGUUUGGACCCGGCACCGUCUAACUCCCAGCAGGACAGGAGAAUCUACCAUCUCGUAAGACCCCACCUCACAUCUCACCCCACAAAGAGCCAAGCACGUGGGAUGAACUCUUACUAAGGUGGGGAGCACAUUUCAGAAAGAUUUUCAGCAGAAGGGUUUUCGAGGUGAGCCUUAAUAACCACCGUCGGAGCGGGCUUUUCUGAGGGAGUGCCUGGCUAAAUGUGCUUUCUCACACAAAGCUCACGCUCUCACGAAGCUCUAACGCAAAACAUGGCUAAUUGAGAAAUAUUAAUGACUCACAGGCAAGAACAUUAACUCAUAAAACUUACAUAAGUGCGCAUGUCAACGGGAAGUAACUGUAUUACAAAUGUAAGUUGCAACUCAGUGAAAGGGGUGGAGGCGGCUUGGGACCAGCAGGGUCCAUGGUGGGUGGGGCGGGGCGGGGUGUGGGAGCCCCCAGGCACAGGAAGAGGAAGAGGAAGAGCGCUGGGAUGGCGUCAGUCCUGGGAACAGGCAGGAUGAUAUCACCAGGUUUACUGGGGUGACAAUACAAUAUACAGCAUCUUAUCCUUAUUCCUGCAAACCUCUCAACUAUGUACAGCAAAUGAGUAUUUUAAAAGCGUGAGAAAAUACAUCCGUGGACACCAGGCUUUCUGACUCACUAAAAGAAGUCCCAUCGGAGUGGCACAUUAAACCACACGGCGGUGGGGCAGGCAAAUUCCAGAAUCCUGAUUAUUUUGUCAAGUACAUUUCAAGGGGAAAAAAAAAGAUGGAGGAACCUAAAGACAGAAGAGAUUUAAGAUACAAAUCAAAUACAUGCGAUGUGAAGACCUUAUUUGGGACCCGAUUCAAACAAACUAUUGAAAAAUACACGUGACAUUUGUAAGACAAUUGGAAAACUGGACAUUUGAUAUCAAGGAAUUAUUGUUAGUUUCAUAGGUGUCAAAAUGGUAUGGUGUUGUGCC